UUCGGCGGCCAUAGCGAGAGGGAAACGCCCGGUAACAUUCCGAACCCGGAAGCUAAGACUCUCUGCGCCGAUGGUACUGCAAGGGGGACCUUGUGGGAGAGUAGGACACCGCCGGAC
rnacentral:rRNA from 1 species